AUACGGAGGGUGCAAGCGUUAUCCGGAAUCAUUGGGUUUAAAGGGUCCGCAGGCGGUCAAUUAAGUCAGAGGAGAAAUCCCGUCGCUCAACGACGGAACUGCCUCUGAUACUGGUUGACUUGAGUUAUAUGGAAGUAGAUAGAAUGUGUAGUGUAGCGGUGAAAUGCAUAGAUAUUACACAGAAUACCGAUUGCGAAGGCAGUCUACUACGUAUAUACUGACGCUCAUGGACGAAAGCGUGGGGAGCGAACAGGAUUAGAAACCCGGGUAGUCC
rnacentral:rRNA from 1 species